AUUGAACGCUGGCGGCAUGAUUUACACAUGCAAGUCGAACGGUAACAGGCCGCAAGGUGCUGACGAGUGGCGAACGGGUGAGUAAUGCAUCGGAACGUGCCCAGUCGUGGGGGAUAACUACUCGAAAGAGUAGCUAAUACCGCAUACGAUCUAUGGAUGAAAGCGGGGGACCGUAAGGCCUCGCGCGAUUGGAGCGGCCGAUGUCAGAUUAGGUAGUUGGUGGGGUAAAGGCUCACCAAGCCAACGAUCUGUAGCUGGUCUGAGAGGACGACCAGCCACACUGGGACUGAGACACGGCCCAGACUCCUACGGGAGGCAGCAGUGGGGAAUUUUGGACAAUGGGCGCAAGCCUGAUCCAGCAAUGCCGCGUGCAGGAAGAAGGCCUUCGGGUUGUAAACUGCUUUUGUACGGAACGAAACGGCUCUGGUUAAUACCCGGGGCUAAUGACGGUACCAUAAGAAUAAGCACCGGCUAACUACGUG
rnacentral:rRNA from 1 species